AUCACUUUGCACAACUAGCCU
rnacentral:miRNA from 1 species